GGAGUCGUCGCAUAGUUCGGCCUAGUGCACCACCCUGCUAAGGUGGAGAACUCGUAAGGGUUCCGAGGGUUCAAAUCCCUCCGACUCCGCCA
rnacentral:tRNA from 1 species